rnacentral:rRNA from 1 species
UAGCGGAGGAAAAGAAACCAACUGGGAUUACCUUAGUAACGGCGAGUGAAGCGGUAAAAGCUCAAAUUUGAAAUCUGGUACUUUCAGUGCCCGAGUUGUAAUUUGUAGAAUUUGUCUUUGAUUAGGUCCUUGUCUAUGUUCCUUGGAACAGGACGUCAUAGAGGGUGAGAAUCCCGUUUGGCGAGGAUACCUUUUCUCUGUAAGACUUUUUCGAAGAGUCGAGUUGUUUGGGAAUGCAGCUCAAAGUGGGUGGUAAAUUCCAUCUAAAGCUAAAUAUUGGCGAGAGACCGAUAGCGAACAAGUACAGUGAUGGAAAGAUGAAAAGAACUUUGAAAAGAGAGUGAAAAAGUACGUGAAAUUGUUGAAAGGGAAGGGCAUUUGAUCAGACAUGGUGUUUUUUGCAUGCACUCGCCUCUCGUGGGCUUGGGCCUCUCAAAAAUUUCACUGGGCCAACAUCAAUUCUGGCAGUAGGAUAAAUCAUUAAGAAUGUAGCUACCUCGGUAGUGUUAUAGCUUAUUGGAAUACUGCUAGCUGGGAUUGAGGACUGCGCUUCGGCAAGGAUGUUGGCAUAAUGGUUAAAUGCCGCCCGUC